rnacentral:rRNA from 1 species
UACGGAGGGGGCAAGCGUUAUUCGGAAUCAUUGGGCGUAAAGGGCGUGUAGGCGGCUUCGUGUGUCUUAUGUGAAAGCCCUCGGCUCAACCGGGGAACUGCAUGGGAAACUGCGGAGCUUGAGUCCGGGAGAGGAGAGUGGAAUUCCCAGUGUAGCGGUGAAAUGCGUAGAUAUUGGGAGGAACACCAGUGGCGAAGGCGGCUCUCUGGACCGGUACUGACGCUGAGACGCGAAAGCCAGGGGAGCAAACGGG